rnacentral:rRNA from 1 species
UCCUCCCUCUGGCGGCGUGCUUAACACAUGCAAGUCGAACGGAAAGGCCCUGCUUUUGUGGGGUGCUCGAGUGGCGAACGGGUGAGUAACACGUGAGUAACCUGCCCUUGACUUUGGGAUAACUUCAGGAAACUGGGGCUAAUACCGGAUAGGAGCUCCUGCUGCAUGGUGGGGGUUGGAAAGUUUCGGCGGUUGGGGAUGGACUCGCGGCUUAUCAGCUUGUUGGUGGGGUAGUGGCUUACCAAGGCUUUGACGGGUAGCCGGCCUGAGCGGGUGACCGGCCACAUUGGGACUGAGAUACGGCCCAGACUCCUACGGGAGGCAGCAGUGGGGAAUAUUGCACAAUGGGCGGAAGCCUGAUGCAGCACCGCCGCGUGCGGGAUGACGGCCUUCGGGUUGUAAACCGCUUUCGCCUGUGACGAAGCGUGAGUGACGGUAAUGGGUAAAGAAGCACCGGCUAACUACGUG